rnacentral:antisense_RNA from 1 species
GAACACAAAAUGGCGACACGUGGUUAGCAUUCGUCGCCAACGAGAAAUUGGGGUCGGCCCGAAAGCUCUAGAAUGCACCCCUAUUCCUCCCCGGGGCCAUUCCCGCUCAACGAGUUUUAUGACCUAAAAAACCCCACAGGCUGGUCUGAAGAGGAAGACACUUAAAGAUGAAGUGCUUAAUUCAAGGUCACAGAAUGUCGGGGAUGGACCUCCAGAUUUCCUUACUGGUGAGACGUGGUCUUGUAACACAGUGGUUAAGAAUGUGACUUUGGAGCCAGCCUGCUAGGGGCUGAAUUCUGACUCAGCCAUUUAUUAACUGUGUGACCUUAGGUCAUAGAAUUUUCCACACUCCUUGACGGAGGUUCUUAACCCUUAUCCAUCAGCAUUCUCAGACAGCACCUCCGGUUAGGGACAGUAUCUGACCGUCCGACAUCCCUGCAGCCCCCAUGCUGUCACACAGACUCAGCCUCAGGUAGAUGGUUUCCGUAGAUGGUGGCUUUCUUUGGACCCUUGAUAUCAACCAGUUACUAUUUGGGGACCAGAUGUG